CAUAUGCUAAAUAUAAAACAUACUAUAAUAUUUAAAAAAAAAAAUUCACUGCAUCAGUAACUACACAGUCACUAUCUUUUAAAUAAAGCAACAAACAGCAUAUCAUCAAUGUCUUUUGAUCUUCUCCUGAACCUAAGCUCAGGCUCUACUCUUCAGCACAAUGGUGACCCACAACACUCAAUUUUACAGUAAACUACUGGCAACAGUGUUGCCAGUAUAUAACUGUUUUUUAACUUACAGUUUGUUACUGUUAACAUACAUUUUGUGGGUGCUGUCUAUUUAUCUUACACCUUUAACCCUUUCAACCCCACAGGAACAUCCUCUAGUGUCCACACUACAGAGUAAAAGUAACAUUGACGCUGUGUUGCAGUGAGAUAAUUAAGUUAAUAUGUAAAAUAUGAUUGAGCAUUAAUGAUGAACACCUGCUGUUAACAAGCAGAACCACUGAAAAGAGGAACAAGAACAGGAAAAAAAACUAGCAGAAACAUAAGAACUACAACUGUCUUCCAGCCAUUACACAUUAUUACACUUAUUACUGACCAGAUUAACUUUAUUUCUACAGAAAAUCUUAUUGAGAAUUAACAGAAGUUUAGAUGUUGAUGUUUAAUUGAAAAUGUUUGGUUUGAUGUCACCAUUGAGGAGAUCGGUGUUUUCUUUAGUUGAGCUCUUGACCCUUGAGUUCUUAACAUCAGAUUUUUCUUUCUGACUGCUUUAACUGUUGUUGCAAGCCACAUUUGUAAUUGGGAAAAUAGAUGAUCAUUGGAUGGUGAUAGUUAUGUAUUGAUGGUGAUAAAACAAUCACAGUCUCUUGAUUCACUGCUCUCAUACUGUGUUUAAUCUCUUAACACUACAUUACAGUGAGUUCCAAAAAUAAUCAGUUGCAAUGAAGGUUUUUUUUUUUUUUUUUAAACACAAUGCAAAAAAACAAAAAAACAUUCAGCUGCAUAAUUUAUUCAUGCUGCAGUGCAUGCUGGGAGUUUUGUACUAUGCUGGUACCCAUCAUGCAUUGUAACAGAAUUUUUUUUAUUUGUCAUCAUUGUUGAGAUUCAUAUCCUGAUUGUUGAUGUCUGUGUGUGUCUAAAUGAUGCAGGAGCUCAAAAUGUCUUAUGCACUACAUGACUUUGACAGAGACAUUGUCGGAUCUUAUGCUGUUGAAUCACAGACAUAGUAUAAUAAAUAAAUAUGAAAUACCCAUUAAAUCAAAUAUUAAACACAGAAUGAGAUCACUGAAUUAAAAAAAGUUUUUGAUGAUUACAAUAUAUUCACAACAGCCAAAACACCAGAUCAACUUCUUGGCUUUUUCCUGCCAUAUCAAAUGUGUUUUAUAAACAUUCAGUUUCAGCAGCCAGAGAAAGUUAAUGUUAAAGAGUCAAGAGCCCAACUAAAGCAGACACUGGUCACCACAAUGGUAACUACAAACUUCAAUACAUUUUUAUUUUCAAUAAAACAUCAACAUCCAUAUCUGUUAAUUCUCAACAAGAACUUCUGUACAUGUAUGAAAGAAAUAAUGUCAAACUGGUUUGUGAGUGUGGCUGAAGUCAAUGGCAAAUAUUACUGAGUAAAUAUUAUUUCUCUGCUGGAGAUCUGGAGCUGAUCUCUGUGCUGAAGAGACGUCUGUGAAGGAGAGCAGAAGAUGGAGUCCUGAGGGAAAGAUCCAGCUGUAUGAUGACAGAGAAGAGCAGCUCCUGACGGGAAGCAUCAGUCAUGUGACUGAACAAGAUUCAGAAUACUGGUGUGGAGUUCAGUCUGAUCAAGGACACAAGAGCUUCAUCACACGAGUCCUGAUCCAUGUUACAGAGAUAACAUCAACAACACCAUCAUCAUCAUCAUCAGUUGAAUCUCCAGCAAUCACAUCUGUGUCUUCUGUAACAGGUACAAACUCUCUCUGAAACACAAACACACUCAUUGAGGACAUUUUUAACCUAACGUUUUGAGUUAUCUUUUUACAAUGACUUUACAUUUACAUUUACAUUCUGAGAAUUUUAAGUACAUUCAACUUGACAAAUGUAGUUAUUUGAAUUGUGAAAGUUUAGUUAGAAUAACUAAAGUGAACUCAAUACCACAGGUCAUGUUCAUGCACUGUAUAAAAGAUGAUUCAAAUAUUCUCAGUUGUGUCAGUGUUAAAGCACAAGUGCUUCCAGCUAAGAUUUAGUUAAAAGAAAAUAUUUUCGUAAUUCAAUAGGGCCUCAACUUUAUUACUACUCUAUUUGCUUUGAAACAGUCAUUUAAACAGUCAUUUAAAUCACUGUACACUGUACAAGUACUUUAAUGUGGUUAAAGCAGAAACUUCAGCUGAUCUACUUUAUCAAAGUGUUCUUAAUGAAACACUGUUGUGAUUGGUGUAAAAAAAUAAUUUAAGAAUAGCCAAGGGUCAAGUGCUCAACUAAAGCAAACACGUUUCACUAUAACAGUGACUUCAAACAAUUUUCCAUAAAAAAAUCAACGUUAAUUAGAGCUAAACCUCUGUUAAUUCUCAGAAACACCUUAAAAAAAUAAAGUCAAACUGGUGUGCAAUAAGUGAAGCUGGUAAAGCUGUUUUUGGAGUUGUUUAAUCACCCUCUGCUCGGAUCUUGAGAAAUGUCAUUGAUUUGAUUUGUAGUUGAUGUUUCAGUGGCCGAAAUCAGAUCAACUAUUAUUUGCAGUAGAAAUUAAUUUAAAGUUCUCAACCGAAACAUGGCUGAAAUAUUUGAAAUAAAAAAGAAUUAUUUACAACUGACAUGAAAGAACAAUUUAAAUAAAAUAAUUAUUUAUUUGGUUGAAUUAAUAAAAUAAGCCACAUUAGGUUACAUAUACUUAAUAUUCCAAAUACUUCAUAUUCAGAGUAAUUAAAACUUAAAUAAGUCAGUGGAAAUUAGUUCUCCCAAAAGUUAAGUUGAUUUAACAUUUUUUUUUUUUUUUUACAGGGAAUGUUUGUACUGAAAACUUUACCUUCACCUUAUGUUCAUUAAGUUAAUCCAACUAAACUUUAUAAGUUCAAACAACAUUACAUUUACUCAGUACUCAUUUGUGUGGUUCAGAUUGUGAGUCUGGUGUUUUCAGGCUCUUCUCUGAUGGUCAGUGUGUCUGUGGUUCUGCUGCUGAUCAUCACUG